rnacentral:SRP_RNA from 2 species
CCGUGCUAGACGGGGAAAUAGCGGAGCCCUGUACCCGCAAUCCGCUCCAGCGGGGUUGAAUCCCUUCCCGAGGCUGUUGUUUUGUAAGGAUCUGCCUCAAGUAAGUGGUGUGGACAUCUGGGUCCUGCGCAAUGGGAACCCAUGAACCAUGUCAGGUCCGGAAGGAAGCAGCAUUAAGUGGGCCAUCCCAUGUGCCGCGGGGCAGCCUGGAUCGAGCUAACUGCUAGAGUAACGCUUAUGAAACACUGUCGACGGAAGGUGCACGG